UCCCUUCUGGCUCAGCUGGUAAAGAAUCUGCCUGCAAAGCGGGAGACCUAGGUUCGAUCCCUGGGUUAGGAA
rnacentral:tRNA from 1 species